GACGUAGGUGGCGAACGUUAUCCGGAAUUAUUGGGCGUAAAGGAUGCGUAGCUGGUGUAGUAAGUUAUCGGUGGCAAAUCGAGGCUCAACCUCGUGGAAGUCGGUAAUACUGCUAUGCUAGAGGAUAGGAGAGGUUAACGGAACUCCCUGUGGAGCGGUGAAAUGCGUAGAUAUAGGGAAGAACACCAAUAAGGCGAAGGCAGUUAACUAUUCUACUCCUGACAUUGAGGCAUGAAAGCGUGGGGAGCAAAACGG
rnacentral:rRNA from 1 species